GUGCUCACUUUAGCAGCACAUACACUAAAAUUGGAACAAUAGAGAGAAGAUUAGCAUGGUCCUUGGGCAAGGAUGACACACAAAUUUGUAAAGCAUUCCAUAUUUUU